rnacentral:lncRNA from 1 species
UUAAUUCAUCCUUCUUCCCUUACUCUGCCUCAGAAUCUCAGGAAAAGAAGCUCUCUUUACUCUUUACCACUCCAAAAUUCACUCCCUGUUAGCUCACUCUGUUUCUCUUUCUCUUUUGCUUCCAAAAGGGUUCUCAAAGAUUGGAUCUUUUUGCCUUUUUGGGGUUUUUUUUAAGCCAUGGCUGCAACUCUUGCUACAUGUUCAAGUGCACCACCAAGCUUUUACUUUGAUGAUAAAUGGAAGUUGUCAAAGAAAGAAAGCUCAUCAAGAAGCAGGUCUUCUUCAACAUCUUCAUUCAUCAAGAAUUCUUCUUCUUCUUCCUCCUCUCAUAAGAGAUGUGCUUUUACAAGGAAAUGCGCCAGGCUGGUCAAAGAGCAAAGGGCACGUUUUUACAUCAUGCGGCGCUGCGUUACCAUGCUUAUAUGCUGGCGUGACUACACUGAUUCUUGAGAAGAAGCCAAAAACAGAAAGUGCUCUCUCUUUUUUCCUUUUUCUUUGAGAUGGUUUCUUGGCCUUUUUGGGGUUAGCUUAGCUAGCUAGGCUUUCGUUUCUUUUCUUUUCUUGUCUUUUCUUGGCAUCCAAGCAGGAGGAAGAGGAAGAUUAUCAACUUAUAUAUAUACUUGUAUAUAAAGAUUUGUUCUUUUUGCCUUUUUUGCGUUGGGAUUAGAAAUUGUAGAUCUUUUUCUCUGAAUCUCCAUUGAAGGAGAUGAUGGGUUCUUCUUAAUGUGACUGUUACUUCCAAUCAAAUGAUUAAUAUUAAUAUAAAUAGAGUGAAUCAAUUAUAGUUUUUAUUCAUAUCUAUGGCUGCUUCUUUUUUCUGGGUUUGUUCUUGAUUUCUGAGAUCUCAAAGACUCUCUAAAAUCUUUGAGAGAGAGAGAGAGAGAUUCCAUUCAACCAUUGCAGGGUUAGCUCUGUGUGGAUCUGGUGUGGUGUUGCUGACACAGAUUACUAUUUAAUUAUAUUAAUUUAAUUAUUUUUAGACACAUUUGGAGGUGUGACAACCC